ACAACCGCCUCCUCAGAUUCCGCUGGCAGCUUCCUAAUUUUUGGGCCUCGAUACUUCUUUCUCUCCCGAUAUCGAGAAAAACAGCACCGCCGCUCCUCCCUUCUCCUCCUCCUGUGCACUUCCCCUAGAUCCACCCAGCCUCCGGUCAUCGCCCGCGCUCCUGCAAGCCGCCGCCGACCUCCUCAGCCGGACGCCAUGGCCACCGGAGGCAGGGGACGCGGCCGCGAUGGCCCUGAGCUCGGCGGCGUGGAAGCCAUUGGAGGUGCUGGCGAGGCCGAGGUCGGUGAGCAUGGCAGCGGCGGCCGGGUGCAUUGAGCGCAGGUAGGACUUCCUCAUGAGUUGUUUUCCUCCAACGCCGGGGUGUGGAUCUACGUGCGGGGGCUGCAGCCGCCGCCACCGCCACCGCCUCGAUCCCGACCCCCUUCCCCCCGCUUCCCGGGGACAGACCCCGUCGCCUUCUCCCUUCUUCCUCGGACCCCAGGACGUCCUGCUGUCAUCUGCACCCCGUCCCAGUCUUCAUCCGGCCAUCAGGUUUCCUUCCCCUCAAAGAAGAUUUUGAAGGAAGGAGAGAAGUCCGCUAAGCCACCCCUUAGGAAGCGGAUGGACUAGCUCGACGCGGUCUUUUCCUGCCCAUUCUGCAAUCAUGGGAGUAGCAUUGAAUGCCGGAUGAAAGCUUCAACACCACUGCAAAUGGUACAUAGAACUGCAGAUUGUACCUCCGUCAUCCCGCCGUCCUCACCCCAUCAUUGUGCGCCCCCGCCUGUCCGCUCACGCAUUCACAUUGAGGAAGAUGAUGAGUACCUCAGCCACGCCGCCGUCCUCUCCCCGUCGUCGCGCGCCCCCGCUCGUCAUCCAUCCGCAGCUUUUCCAGUCCCGACCGCCGGAGAGUCGCGCCGCUGGGAACAAGCACCUUGCAAUCGUGGUGUGCUUCUCCGUUGGUGCUGUCGUAUAGACAUCUUGCAAGUAAGUGACCUUCAAUCCAAAUGUUAUCUUUCUCUGCACUUGAUUUCAGUUGCUUUCUUAUGGUCUCCUGAAUUACUUGGCAUGUGUCAGCCAUUCUGGAUAGGGAACGUUCUUAAGGGACAUCAUGUUCACUUGGGAUACUUACUGGAUUAAGGAAGAAAUUUUGAAAUGCUUCUGAAACAAUAUCGUUUCAUUAGUUGAGGACUUUGGGUAGUUCAGCAUGUUCGAUUGAGCAUAAUUAAGAAGCUUGAUUUGUAAUUAUAUAAAAAAUUGUAAAAUGAUCUGUAAAAGUUGAACUUCUCACCAAAAUUAUAUCACUGAAGUUAAAUCAAGUGAAAAAAUAGUGUGCUGCGGUGCAGUUACUUGCAGCUGGGACUGAUCUGAUGAAGAAAUUAUUCUGUUAAAGACCUGGCAGAUAGUUUUUCUGCUGGCAAUGUAAUUACACUUGUUUGGAUGUGCUUGUUUUGGAUUAAAUGAUAGAAUGGGUGUUGUACUAUUGUUCUUGAUUUUCUCACUUAUUUAGUAGUGUUUGACGGGCAUUCUAAUCAUUUUUUGAGACCACUUUGGAGAGGGUACGUGAUUGAAAAGCUCGGAUUUUCCUGUUAGCAAGAGUAUUUUAUAUCUUACCAUGAAAAGCUGUAAUGCUAUUGUUCCUACAGAUUCAAGAACUCAGAUUUAGUAACAAGAUAGAUUUUUAUCAUGCCUCGCUAUGAAAUCAUGUUUGGUUGCAGUGCAAAGGUCAAUUGAGAAUUUGAGAUCCGUUGUGAAGAACGGUAGAUGCUUGCUUGUCGGUUGCCUAGAGAUUUUGUUUCUGAAUUUUUUUGUGUUGGAUCGCAAGAUGUUGCUGAUAUAUGGUCGUGUUUGUUCAAAAAAAGUCGUGAUGUGUUAUUGAUCAGGAUAUUAGUAUAUCCCAAUCUCAUCACAGGAUCUGUUCACUGGGUUUCUAAAACUAUAUAGCAUUUUAUUAGUUAUGGGUUGGAGCAGUCUUUCUUUUUUCCUCUCGAGAAAACAUUGAAGCUUAAUGUCUUGAUGCAUUUGAAAAAGAGAAUGGCAAAACAAAACAGUUUACUUAAGGGUUACAUGAGUGCCUCUGAAUUUUAAAAAAUGUCAGCAAUAGUUUCCUGUUUUGACUAAGAUUCUUUAUUUUCUUAGGAGCAAGCAUUUUCUAUAAUUCACACCACAACAUGACGGCAUGUGCAUAGCAUAAACCAUCAUUUGGGUAAUCUAAAUAUUAGCUUUGGUAGCCUCAUUUGCAAUUGUGUAUGUCUGUCAGGUUGAUGCCGAGGUAGCUAGGAAAGAUGCAUGAUGCAUAUAUUAUUCAGUACUGUUCUUACUGACGUUUUUCUUUCUGAUGAUAAACCACGGGGAUAAAUUGGCAAUGUAUCUCUUCACCUUCCAGAAUGAGAGCUUCACAGAGGUCCUCCUGGUGUGGGAGAUCAUGAGAGCCUAGAAAUGCAAAUGAGGCUGGAAGGAUUAUUUUGUUGGUGUCCGAGAGCGAAAUAUUUUGUGUUGCAAAGUUAGCCGUGGACCCUGUGUGGGAGCUUUGGGAGGAUGAUCUUGCCGCUACGCUGGUCAUGUGUCAACCGUACGCCUUUUACUUUUAAUACCGGCAUUUUUUAGGUGCAGGAUUUCUCAAACAGCACUAUACAUAGGGCCUUCCAGACUAUCUCAUAGAUUUUAUCCUGUAAAGUCGUGUGAGUUGUUUCACAUGCUCGAGUGUGAAUGAAUUGUAGGGGAUGCCACUUCUGCUGGUUGGGAUGUUGAUGGCGUGUGUGCUUUUUGCCGCUGCUAGCAUCUACUCCCUCCGUUCGGAAUUACUUGUCACAAAAAUGGAUAGAAAUGGAUGUAUCUAUAACUAAAAUACAUCUAGAUACAUUCAUUUCUUGGACGAGUAAUUCCGAACGGAGAGAGUAAUGAGUAGUAUAGUGCACAACUGCAUUAGCUUUGGACGUAUGUGCUUCAAUACUUUUUUUUCUGUUGGGCUUUAAUAUUCUACUAAAUUUCUGAUCGAUAAAAAUGUUUGUGGCUACUAUAGUACUCCCUUCGUCCGGAAAUA